AUACGGAGGAUGCAAGCGUUAUCCGGAUUUAUUGGGUUUAAAGGGUGCGUAGGCGGUUUGCUAAGCGGGAGGUGAAAUGCCGGCGCUCAACGUCGGAAGUGCCUCCCGAACUGGUGGACUUGAAUGACUCUGCCGUGGGAGGAAUGUGUAGUGUAGGGGGGAAAUGCUUAGAGAUUACACAGAACACCGAUUGCGAAGGCAUCUCACGAAGGGUUGAUUGACGCUGAGGCACGAAAGCGUGGGGAUCAAACAGGAUUAGAUACCCUGGUAGUCCACGCAGUAAACGAUGAUGGCUAACCGCUGGGCUUAUCAGUUCAGUGGCCAAGCGAAAGCGAUAAGCCAUCCACCUGGGGAGUACGACCGCAAGGUUGAAACUCAAAGGAAUCGACGGGG
rnacentral:rRNA from 1 species